GGGGGGGGGGGGGGGGGGGGGGGGGGGGGGGGGGGGGGGCGGGGGGGGGCGGCGGUUGUGGGGGGCUCGGGGGGCGGGCGGGGGGGUGGCGCGUGGGUGGCCUGCCCUUUGCUUUGGGAUACCUUCGGUAACCUGGGGCUAAUCCCCGAUGGUAGCUCCUGCUUCAUGGUGGGGGUUGGCAAGUUUCGGCGGUUGGGGAUGGACUCGCGGCUUAUCAGCUUGUUGGUGGGGUAGUGGCUUACCAAGGCUUUGACGGGUAGCCGGCCUGAGAGGGUGACCGGCCACAUUGGGACUGAGAUACGGCCCAGACUCCUACGGGAGGCAGCAGUGGGGAAUAUUGCACAAUGGGCGGAAGCCUGAUGCAGCAACGCCGCGUGCGGGAUGACGGCCUUCGGGUUGUAAACCGCUUUCGCCUGUGACGAAGCGUGAGUGACGGUAAUGGGUAAAGAAGCACCGGCUAACUACGUG
rnacentral:rRNA from 1 species